GGCAGCGGCGGAAAUAUGAUAAAACAAAUUUUGUGGCUCUUAUUUAUAGCUUGCUGUUCGGUUUGAGUAAAAGCUCCGUGUUGAAGGCCGUAAUUCAACCUAUAAUUGUUUACUUUUUACACAUUAUGACUUAGAUGUAGAGUUGUCUCAUUGGCACUCAUAUCAUAUCUUCCUAUUUCUAUUCAUUUCAAAAGACACCAAUGAACUCAAAGUCAAUUUUAAAAAUAUUUUAUAACGAUAGCUACAAAAUUAUCCUCUCUUGCAUAUAUAAUUAUACCGGUAUGGAUGAUUGGUUGAUUGAAAUUUGCUGUUGAUUGAUUGCUUUUUAACGCCACUUUCAACACUAUCAUGCUAAUUCGUGGCAGUGAGUUUAUAUUGAUGGAGGAAGCCGAAGUCCCCGGAAAGAAACACCGACUUUCGGUAGGAAAAACUAAUAAUUCUAUUCAAUUGAGAUUGGAGUCGAGCUUACCUGCCACGUGUGGGAUUCGAACUCACAACCUACAUGUAAGUGUUGACAGACUAGAUACUUGGACCCUUCGCCACCGCCCCCCCCCCCCCCAAAAAAAAGGAAUUAAAGGAGAUAUGGGAUGACCUUCAACUCGGUGCAUGACAUUUGCUUGCAUCUUUUUAUUAUGUUUUCAUGCAUUUAUUGCACACUUACAUGAUUAUGAAUGUAUGCUUGACGUCCAGCGGAAAAUUGAUAUAUAAAAGACUAUGUGGUAUGAUUGCCAAUGAGACAACUCUCCACAAGACACACAAAUGACACAGAAAUUAACAACUAUAGGUCACCGUACGGCCUUCAACAAUGAGCAAAGCCCAUACUGCAUAAUCAGCUAUAAAAGGCCCCG
rnacentral:lncRNA from 1 species